rfam:Schistosoma curassoni strain Dakar, Senegal genome assembly, scaffold: SCTD_contig0003134
AUCCAGCUGAUAAGUCCCAAAUAGGACGAAACGCUCCUCCUGGAU